rnacentral:rRNA from 2 species
GGCUGUUCGCCAUUUAAAGUGGUACGCGAGCUGGGUUUAGAACGUCGUGAGACAGUUCGGUCCCUAUCUGCCGUGGGCGCUGGAGAACUGAGGGGGGCUGCUCCUAGUACGAGAGGACCGGAGUGGACGCAUCACUGGUGUUCGGGUUGUCAUGCCAAUGGCACUGCCCGGUAGCUAAAUGCGGAAGAGAUAAGUGCUGAAAGCAUCUAAGCACGAAACUUGCCCCGAGAUGAGUUCUCCCUGAGACUUUAGGUCUCCUGAAGGAACGUUGAAGACGACGACGUUGAUAGGCCGGGUGUGUAAGCGCAGCGAUGCGUUGAGCUAACCGGUACUAAUGAACCGUGAGGCUUAACCUUACAACGCCGAAG